rnacentral:rRNA from 1 species
AUGCAAGAUUACUUCACUGAGAAUUCAACAUAUCCGCCGCACCACAGGUACCGAAUGCGCCGAUCUCUCUUUGUGAAAAUUGUUCAAGCUUGCAAGGCCAAUUGUCAGUAUUUUACUUAAAGAAGAAAUGUCGCGGGCUUGAAGGGAUUUAGCGCAUAUCAAAAAAUCUCGGCAGCCAUGCGGGUGAUUGCAUACGGCGUGCCAGCUAACUAUGCUGAUGAGUACCUUCGCAUUGGUGAUUUGUAUUCAUUUUCAUUUAAUUCAUGUGUAAUUGUAUUCGGGACAAGUUUUAUAUUGAAUUAUUUAGUUUGCUUCGGUGAUUUGAAUAAUUACUAUAAUGUCGAAGAUUAUUGUAUUGUGGUAUUGAUAUUUUUUUGA